GAUGAACGCUGACAGAAUGCUUAACACAUGCAAGUCUUUGGCGAAGCUGUGCUUGCACAGCCUAGCCAAGGCGGACGGGUGAGUAACGCGUAAGGAACUUGCCCUGCAGUCAGGGAUAACAGACGGAAACGACUGAUAAGACCUGGUAAAGUCAGGCGGACUCAUGUCCAGCCUGAUGAAAAGAGAUGCUGCAGGAGAGCCUUGCGUCCUAUUAGCUUGUUGGUGGGGUAACGGCCCACCAAGGCGAUGAUAGGUAGCCGGCCUGAGAGGGUGGACGGCCACAAGGGGACUGAGAUACGGCGCUUACUCCUACGGGAGGCAGCAGUGGGGAAUAUUGGACAAUGGGGGCAACACUGAUCCAGCAAUUCUGUGUGCACGAUGAAGGUUUUCGGAUUGUAAAGGGCUUUCAGCAGGGAAGAAAAAAAUGACGGUACCGGCAGAAGAAGCGACGGCUAAAUACGUG
rnacentral:rRNA from 1 species